rnacentral:rRNA from 1 species
AUUGAACGCUGGCGGCAUGCCUUACACAUGCAAGUCGAACGGUAACGGGUCCUUCGUGAUGCCUACGAGUGGCGAACGGGUGAGUAAUAUAUCGGAACGUGCCCAGUAGUGGGGGAUAACUGCUCGAAAGAGCAGCUAAUACCGCAUACGACCUGAGGGUGAAAGGGGGGGAUCGCAAGACCUCUCGCUAUUGGAGCGGCCGAUAUCAGAUUAGCUAGUUGGUGGGGUAAAGGCCUACCAAGGCAACGAUCUGUAGUUGGUCUGAGAGGACGACCAGCCACACUGGGACUGAGACACGGCCCAGACUCCUACGGGAGGCAGCAGUGGGGAAUUUUGGACAAUGGGCGCAAGCCUGAUCCAGCAAUGCCGCGUGCAGGAAGAAGGCCUUCGGGUUGUAAACUGCUUUUGUCAGGGAAGAAAUCUUCUGGGCUAAUACCCCGGGAGGAUGACGGUACCUGAAGAAUAAGCACCGGCUAACUACGUG